rnacentral:rRNA from 1 species
UACGGGGGGGGCAAGCGUUGUCGUGAAUUACUGGGCGUAAAGGGCGCGUAGGCGGUGCUCUAAGUUAGAUGUGAAAACUCUGGGCUCAACCCAGAGCCUGCAUCUAAAACUGGAGUGCUAGAGUUCUGGAGGGGGUAGCGGAAUUCCUGGUGUAGCGGUGAAAUGCGUGGAGAUCCGGAGGAACACCAGUGGCGAAGGCGACCUUCUGGACCGCUCCUGACACUCAUACACGAAAGCUAGGGGAGCAAACGGG